AAUUUAUCUCUAAAGUUGGCUGUUUCUAGAUGAUAGCAAGCACUAGUUGGAUAACAGGGAUGGGAGGAAAGGGCAUCAGUGCCCACUCUUUUGUUCGCAGUAGGUUACUUCCAGAGCCUCUUUUGCAGAGGACGUCAAUGGGAGCAGUCAGAGGGGAGAGGUGAGGCCAGGGCAUGUGGAUGCUGCGGGCUGAGCAGCUGGAGGCAGCAUCCUCAGCACCUCGUGUGGCUCCUCUGGACAUCCACAGGGGUGGCUGGCAAGGAAAUCCUGACAGCUUGUGGGGUGGUCAGCAUCUGGGAAAUUCCAGGCUGGCCAGCAGGACUUGAUGCCAGCACUCUCCUUGUGCUCCCCAGUGAAUGGUCCUGGGCUGUUCGGGCUGCCUAGGUGCAAGCAUCUGGGCACUGGGUGCCAGCCAGUGCACCGGGGACACACGUCCCAGUGCCCAGGGGUACGGAGGUGUGAGCGUCGGGCUCCUGAGCUCCUGGAGCAGCCCUCCUGGCUUUAAAUACCCCGCUGUGCCUGCGCUGUUAUCCCCCAGUCAUUGAUCCUCCAUCCACGCUUCUGAGGGUGGCUCUCUCCAGAAGGUGCCCUCCGAGCGUCCCCAUAGCACACGGGCGAGACGAAGCCCAGCCCCAGCGUGCAGUGGCAGCUUCUGCUUUCCACUAAAAAGGAGGCGUCUCGAGCAGCAGCUUACCUUCUCCGCAAUCCUCCAGCGGCGAGAGUGCUCAUCCAGGCGUUGGAGUGGGUGCGUGACGCACUCCUCUGCCUGCAGGGCCUGACCACCGGCUCAGAAGCUUUUCUGGGGAUUUCCUCUUGCGCUGGCAAUUGAAGCUGUGCUUAACUCAGCCCUUCCACUAGACAGAGAGCUUGGAGGUGCUUAUUCAGGACUCAGGAUUACUUUCUAGGAGGCCGAGUUCGUCACUGAGAAGCGGCGAGAGCUUGGUCAUAGGAGAUUGAGCUAAAUUAAUCGAAGCUGACAAUCGCUGGGUCUGCUCCACAGUCACUGAAUGAUAAAAUGUAUUCAAAUGUGCUGCCAGUGGAACAUUUGGUGGGAUUGUUUAUUUCUCAUACCAGGCCUGAUACGCUCAUUAAAAAUAAGAGAUCCUUCUGGACAGAUUACUUCUGUGCUCCCAUUGGCCAUGCUUCUCUCAAUGAGUUAUAAAUAGAAGUCAAAUAUUUUGCAACAGAGUAUGUUCAUUUUGCUGUUAGCUGGAUUAGAGGAAGGUUAUUUUUCUGUUUUCAGGAAUUUGUUAGCUCAUUCAAAAAUAAAGCUGCUGGUAAUGUUGCUCUAAUUUUAUUU
rnacentral:lncRNA from 1 species